rnacentral:rRNA from 1 species
GGACCCGCACAAGCGGUGGAGCAUGUGGUUUAAUUCGAUGCAACGCGAAAAACCUUACCUAUACUUGACAUACUUGGAAUGCUUUGUAAUGAAGCAGUGCCUUCGGGAGCCAGGAUACAGGUGCUGCAUGGCUGUCGUCAGCUCGUGUCGUGAGAUGUUCCGUUAAGUCGGAUAACGAGCGCAACCCUUACCCUUAUUUGCCAGCGAUUCGGUCGGGAACUAUAAGGGGACUGCCGGUGAUAAACCGGAGGAAGGUGAGGACGACGUCAAGUCAUCAUGGCCCUUACGUAUAGGGCUACACACGUGCUACAAUGGGGAAUACAGACGGACGCUAAGCCGCGAGGUGGUGCUAA